UAUAAACGUAGUUAUAUGUAUAUAUAUGUCUAUAUAUAAAAAUGUAGUUAUGUAUAUAUACACAAUUCUUUAAUUAGUACCUGGUGUGCUUUUCUGUAUUUUUCUCUCUUAUCCCCACUUGCCUUCGUAGGUCUAGAAGCAUCGCUUUCUCUCCCACAGCAGAUCCUUCACCUGGAGGCAGGAAGUGGCUGAUCUCCCGGGCAGGUCCUGGCCGUUGUGUCCAGACUAGAGACCUCGUUGCUCCUCCUAGCCUUGUUUCCGGUCGCGUGGGCUGAGGCCGCCUUCUCAGGUGGACAGCAGAGACGGUCUAGCCCUGCAGAUGAGCUGCGUUGCUGACAGACCACAGUGCUACUUUCACGUUGGUGUAUUUUUAUGCCUCUCCAUCUAAAUAUGAGAGUAAAAGCAAUGUUAUUGCUUUGUGGCAACUUGAAGGUGGAAAGACAUCUGCUGGGAGAUAGGCAGGUGCCUCUGGAGCCUAAAGCUUUUCCUGUUUUGCAGUUUCCCCUCGAGGGCUUCUGUAGCCUUCGAGCAGAAAGAGAGAUCAAGCUGAUACCAGGGUGCAGGGAACGCCUGUCCGGGAUCUCCGGUGAAACGUCAGAGAUGGCCCAGCCUCUGUUGUCAGCGUUGUGUCUCUGCAGGUCUGCUGCUCUGGCCACCAUGUAUCCUUGGUCACUGAAGUCAUGAUUGUCAAGGAGAAGUGAUGCCUGAGAAGCCAGUGGGGUCCCAAUGGUUCCCCCAGAUCUAUUCCCUGCCCUUCCCUUUGCUCCAGAAAGCUGACUCCCACAGAUGACUGCUCCUGGACGAUGCCACUUUCUGGUUUCCUGCCAGGUCUUCUGGAGACAGGCACGGGUAAGCCAUCUCUGGGUGGGAGAGGAGGGCGUGGACCACACCGCCAGCCGGGGUGGGGAGGCCUCCUUCCCCAGCUGCAGCUGCCUCCUCCUGCCAGGCACGCUCCGUCCCACUGGGCCCCCUCAUGCAGUCUCAGCUUCUAACCCAUGACUGUUUCCCCAGGCAGCUGGCUUCCGGAAACCGACCGCCCCCUCGGUGAGUAGCCCUUCCAUGAAACCUCCUUUGUUCCUGCCUUAAGUAUCCUCCCCUGUCCUCCAGGACCCUGCGUGAUGAGCCACUAGGGAACGGGCUGCAUGGUGGCGUCCACGUGACAGAAAACAUCAGAACAGACUGAAGGCUUCGGAGACAGGAGAGGGGCCUGGCCUCGAGCAGAGACUCUGGCAGCUAAGACCUCUGAAGCCCUCUCGUUUGGAUUUACAGGUUUUUUUUUUUUUCAUUUUCACACAAAUUAUUUUAUGCUUAAAAAUUAGACCUGAAACAGUGUAGGAAUUAUAUAACCAUGUAAAUAUAAAUCAACAACUGAGGACACUAAGGCUCACAAUCACUAAUUGUAUCAGCCAUAGGAGUAUUCUUUAAUGCAAUAAUUAGAACAGUUAUCUUAUGCUUCUCCCAUCAGUUUUAGAUUAAUUUGUAUUACUGGCCAGUUAUAAUUAUGAAGAUAUAGAAACGGUUAACAAUGCAAAACAUAGUUUAUGUUGCAUGAAAUCAUAAAGAUGUUCAGUGUUCGUAUUUCAUUUUUAUGUGCACUAAUGACAGUAUCUAUUUAUUCAGCUUUUUCUUUUUUGGAAUAUUAUUCUCUUUAUUGAUUUACCUCUUUAUACAUGCUUUAGAUACU
rnacentral:lncRNA from 1 species